UACGUAGGGUGCAAGCGUUAAUCGGAAUUACUGGGCGUAAAGCGUGCGCAGGCGGUUAUGUAAGUCAGGUGUGAAAGCCCCGGGCUCAACCUGGGAAUUGCAUUUGAGACUGCAUAGCUAGGGUGCGGAAGAGGGAAGCGGAAUUUCCGGUGUAGCGGUGAAAUGCGUAGAUAUCGGAAGGAACAUCAGUGGCGAAAGCGGCUUCCUGGUCCAGCACCGACGUUCAGGCACGAAAGCGUGGGGAGCAAACAGG
rnacentral:rRNA from 1 species